GACGAACCGUGCAAACGUUGUUCGGAUUCACUGGGCUUAAAGGGCGCGUAGGCGGGUGGCCAAGUCAGGGGUGAAAUCUUUCAGCUCAACUGGAAAAUAGCUUCUGAUACUGGUCGUCUUGAGGGAGGUAGGGGCAUGUGGAACUUCCGGUGGAGCGGUGAAAUGCGUAGAUAUCGGAAGGAACGCCGGUGGCGAAAGCGACGUGCUGGACCUUUUCUGACGCUGAGGCGCGAAAGCCAGGGGAGCAAACGGG
rnacentral:rRNA from 1 species